rnacentral:rRNA from 1 species
UCGAGCGGACAGAAGGGAGCUUGCUCCCGGAUGUUAGCGGCGGACGGGUGAGUAACACGUGGGUAACCUGCCUGUAAGACUGGGAUAACUCCGGGAAACCGGAGCUAAUACCGGAUAGUUCCUUGAACCGCAUGGUUCAAGGAUGAAAGACGGUUUCGGCUGUCACUUACAGAUGGACCCGCGGCGCAUUAGCUAGUUGGUGAGGUAACGGCUCACCAAGGCGACGAUGCGUAGCCGACCUGAGAGGGUGAUCGGCCACACUGGGACUGAGACACGGCCCAGACUCCUACGGGAGGCAGCAGUAGGGAAUCUUCCGCAAUGGACGAAAGUCUGACGGAGCAACGCCGCGUGAGUGAUGAAGGUUUUCGGAUCGUAAAGCUCUGUUGUUAGGGAAGAACAAGUGCAAGAGUAACUGCUUGCACCUUGACGGUACCUAACCAGAAAGCCACGGCUAACUACGUGCCAGCAGCCGCGGUAAUACGUAGGUGGCAAGCGUUGUCCGGAAUUAUUGGGCGUAAAGGGCUCGCAGGCGGUUUCUUAAGUCUGAUGUGAAAGCCCCCGGCUCAACCGGGGAGGGUCAUUGGAAACUGGGAAACUUGAGUGCAGAAGAGGAGAGUGGAAUUCCACGUGUAGCGGUGAAAUGCGUAGAGAUGUGGAGGAA